GCAACUCACAAGCACUCGGCUCAGCAGCAAUCCUGGAAAUCAGACAGACUGCAGACGGCUUGCACGGACAGAUUUCAACAAGUAAACAAAUGCUGCUCAGCUCAGAAUUAGUUUACAGCUGAACUUUCUCAUCAUUUCUCAUCAUGAGAGAGGCCAGGAUCGUAGUGUUGACUCACGGACAAGCCUUUUUCCUCCACCUCCCAUGGCAAAACACGGGAAGGCGGCAGCCCGGCAACCACAACAUAAGAAUUACGCUUUAACCCAGCGUUCAGGAUUCAAAGCGAGCAGCGGCGAAGCGGUCCAGAGGCAGGGAUGCCGCGGAGAAACCCCGAUGCCAGCAGCACAGUCAUCGCGGCGAACUUGGGCUGGAUUUCCUCAGGUCUUGGGCGGGGGGGGGAGGAAAAAACCCCAUCUAUAUCCCCUCCCUAUGCCCAGCGGAUCUCUUGCGAUUCAGGAUUUGCCACGGCGGGGGAAGGGGGGGGAGAGGGGGCUGGUUAGGCUGUAGGCAGGCGGGAAGGGGAGGGCGGAGGAGCCCCGCGGCCGGCGGGCGGGCGGGCAGCCCCCGCGGCGGGCCCCGCUCCCCUGCGGGGACUCCUCGGGCCGGGGGCCGGGCAUGCCCGCGCUGGGCCGCGCAGCUCCCCGCUCUCUGCCUAUUAGUAUUAUAAUUAAUUUUUUGAGGGGCAAAAAAAAAAAAAAAAAAAAAAAAGAAGAGGGAUGGGGGGAGGAAAAAAAAGAAAAGAAAAUCCAGCGGCGGAGCGCUGGGGCCCCGCGGGCCUCAGCGCGGGCGCGCCGUGGCGCGGAGCGGCGCGCUUCCCCCGCGGGCGGCGGUGUUUCCGCGGGGCUCCGCGCUGCCGCCGCCGCCGCCGCCGCCCCGCUCAGGCCGGCGCCGGGCGCUUCCCCGCCCGCAGCUCCCCGCGGCCGCCGGCUGCGCUCGCCGCCGCUCUCUCCAACUCCCGCUCAGCCCUACCGGCCUGGCGGCGUCCGGAGCGUUUGCUGCAAGGAAGAAGAAAAAAAAAAAAAAAAAAGGAAAAAAAAAAAAAAUCCUCCCCCCCUCCCUUGCUGCAUUAUUAAAACUUCACAUCUUCCCCCAGGCUGGCACUGGGGAAGGGGCGCCCAGCUCUUGGGUCUCGUGUUGUGUGCCAUUAAAAUCAAUCUCCUUGCAAUUCGGCUGCUCUGUCAUUAGGCGUCAUUGUAAAGCUAUUUCUUCAGAAACCACCGAAAGAGAGAGGCUUGAUGUUGGGAAAAACACAGUGUCGACAGAGAGAGGGAGAAAUUUUAUUUGGAUAAAAUGCAGAAUAAUACUCCUUUCGGGCGAUUAUUCCCGCUGCAAACAUUACCUAUGGAAACACGUCACUAAGCCCUCGCCACUAUGUUGUCAAACCAUGUUCUUCCUGAGAUUAAGGUUACGUUAGGCAGGGUGCUGCUGCUCCUCGGGUCCAGAGACAAACCGUACCAUCGGCACCCCCAGAAAUUAACUGCUCGGCCCUGGGAUCGAAGAUAACGCCGUGCACUUCGCCGCCGUGGCCCCGCAGGCUGGAGAGCUGCCCCGACUCAAGUUGCAGAACCUUAAGGGAUCCAUCGCUGCUCGCCAGAGCCACGAUACGACCUGAAAUUCAGAGGAAAGUUAUCGAGGUUUGCGAAGGCAAAGUGACAGAGCCGCGCUGGAAGUUUUGAGAGCGUUGCUUUAAAGACACCCAUGCAUACUCCUGUUUUCUGAGAUAAAUUCUCAGAAAGUUGGACAGAUCAAUGAGAUUGGAUUUUGGAGUGAUUAAGCGAAUCUGGAGACCCUGGCAUGCGACUCUGUAGGAGCACUGCUAUUUUACUUAUAUUGGGAUACAAUUAUUCAGGGGCAGAUUCUGACACACAGACCGUGCACCGGAGAAGUAGAUGCUCUUCUGAUACCUGGAGGUAUCAGCAUCAGACCAUGCUCUUAAUGCUGCUUUUCUUGUACCGCUCUGUAAGAAAUUAAGAUGUGGGUUCUCAACUGAAUUUCAAGGAGGUCAGGCAUCUGACUGAACUGAGGGCCUUGCUCCCUUCUGUCCUUCUGGAAAAAAUGACGAUCAUGAAAUUGUUAGUAUAGAAUUGGGUCUAACAGUAGAAAAAAUAAAAGAAAACCUAAAAAAGGUUCUCAGGA